rnacentral:rRNA from 1 species
CUGCCAUCGGCUCUUACACAUGCAGUCGUACGAUGAAGCCCUUCGGGGUGGAUUAGUGGCGAACGGGUGAGUAACACGUGGGCAAUCUGCCCUUCACUCUGGGACAAGCCCUGGAAACGGGGUCUAAUACCGGAUAACACUCCUGCCUGCAUGGGCGGGGGUUGAAAGCUCCGGCGGUGAAGGAUGAGCCCGCGGCCUAUCAGCUUGUUGGUGGGGUAAUGGCCCACCAAGGCGACGACGGGUAGCCGGCCUGAGAGGGCGACCGGCCACACUGGGACUGAGACACGGCCCAGACUCCUACGGGAGGCAGCAGUGGGGAAUAUUGCACAAUGGGCGAAAGCCUGAUGCAGCGACGCCGCGUGAGGGAUGACGGCCUUCGGGUUGUAAACCUCUUUCAGCAGGGAAGAAGCGAAAGUGACGGUACCUGCAGAAGAAGCGCCGGCUAACUACGUGCCAGCAGCCGCGGUAAUACGUAGGGCGCAAGCGUUGUCCGGAAUUAUUGGGCGUAAAGAGCUCGUAGGCGGCUUGUCACGUCGGAUGUGAAAGCCCGAGGCUUAACCUCGGGUCUGCAUUCGAUACGGGCUAGCUAGAGUGUGGUAGGGGAGAUCGGAAUUCCUGGUGUAGCGGUGAAAUGCGCAGAUAUCAGGAGGAACACCGGUGGCGAAGGCGGAUCUCUGGGCCAUUACUGACGCUGAGGAGCGAAAGCGUGGGGAGCGAACAGGAUUAGAUACCCUGGUAGUCCACGCCGUAAACGUUGGGAACUAGGUGUUGGCGACAUUCCACGUCGUCGGUGCCGCAGCUAACGCAUUAAGUUCCCCGCCUGGGGGAGUACGGGCCGCAAGGGCUAAAACUCAAAGGAAUUUGACGGGGGCCCGCACAAGCGGCGGGAGCAUGUGCUUAAUUUCGACGCAACGCGAAGAACCUUACCAAAGGCUUGACAUAUACCGGAAGCAUUAGAGAUAGUGCCCCCCCUUUGUGGUCGGUAUACAGGUGAGCAUGACUGUCGUCAGCUCGUGUCGUGAGAUGUUUGGGCUAGUCCCGCACGAGCGCAAUCCAUGGUCUGUGCUGGCCAGCAUGGUCCAUCGGGGAUUGAUGCGGACCUCACAUGUAGAAUCGGACGGUGUUCGACUUCCGA